UACGUAGGGACCGAGCGUUGUCCGGAAUCAUUGGGCGUAAAGAGCGUGUAGGCGGCCACUUAAGUCCUGCGUGAAAUCUUGCGGCUCAACCGCAAGCGGUCGUGGGAAACUGGGGUGCUCGAGCGUGGGAGAGGAAAGCGGAAUUCCUGGUGUAGCGGUGAAAUGCGUAGAUAUCAGGAGGAACACCUGUGGUGUAGACAGCUUUCUGGACCAUUGCUGACGCUGAGACACGAAAGCGUGGGUAGCAAACAGG
rnacentral:rRNA from 1 species